rnacentral:misc_RNA from 1 species
GUACAUUCCUGCUGUCUUUGUGUUAGUGCGGCGGGGUUGGAUGUCAGAGCACAUGGAACCACGGGUACUUGUAACCGCACGAUCUACGGCACACUUUCGCACCAAUUGUUCCUCUGAUUCCGGAACCGGAAUCUCACACAACACCGAUUUCAUCUGCGUUUAAAACGCGUGUCCGAUCGUCGUGAUCUCCAUUGAUUCCAGCACGCGGAAUGAAGAACAGGCAGCCAUCAUCACGGUGGAAUGUGGACCAGUAGAGCCAUGGAUCGCAUCUAGAUCAAGCGAGAAGAUUACAGACAGAUUGAGCCAGAUUAAAUGGGAAGAAGUAACGACUGCGCCUGCAGCUGUACACGGGGUUUCCUCAACUACAGUAUUUAAGGAGUGAAUCUGGGCGACUAAUUUAUCAUCCAAAAGGAACUAAAGAAGUCACGCCAAUACAACAUCUCAGUACAUACAGUACCAGUAGUAUAAUAAUUUCUAGCCGCCAGAG